rnacentral:misc_RNA from 1 species
AAGACUAUAGACCUGCGGAGUACCUGCGGAGGGAUCAUUACCGAGUGCGGGCCCUCUGGGUCCAACCUCCCACCCGUGUUUAUUGUACCUUGUUGCUUCGGCGGGCCCGCCAUUCUGGCCGCCGGGGGGCUUGCCCCCGGGCCCGCGCCCGCCGAGGACACCCUCGAACUCUGUCUGAAGAUUGUAGUCUGAGUGGAAUUAUAAAUUAUUAAAACUUUUAACAAUGGAUCUCUAGAUCGG